rnacentral:rRNA from 1 species
GACGAACGCUGGCGGCGUGCUUAACACAUGCAAGUCGAACGGUGAACCUCUUCGGAGGGGAUCAGUGGCGAACGGGUGCGUAACACGUUGGCAACCUGCCCCCGGCUUUGGGAUAACUCCAAGAAAUUGGGGCUAAUACCAGAUGUUCACCGCUUCCCGCAUUAGUGGAGGUGGAAAGGGUUUCUGGCUCGGGCUGGGCCCGCGGCCUAUCAGCUUGUAGGUGGGGUAGUGGCCUACUAAGGCGACGACGGGUAGCCGACCUGAGAGGGUGACCGGCCACCGUGGGGCUGAGACACGGCCCAGACUGCGACGGGAGGCAGCAGUGGGGAAGAUUGCGCAGUGGGCGGAAGCCUGAAGCAGCGACGACGCGAGGGGGAUGACGGCCUUCGGGGUGUAAACCUCUUUCAGCCAGGACGAAGCGAAAUUGACGGUACCUGCAGAAGAAGCACCGGCCAACUACGUG